ensembl:lncRNA
AAUAUGGCUUCAUCGAGUUUCUGUUCUUUUUUUUUUUUUACAGUCGUUCCUUGAAACCUGAUUCUUGCACUAUUCUUCCCUGUCCUGGGGCCAAAAUCUUGGGCUAGCAGCACAAUUUUUCCAGUUUUAGUUACAAGAAGAAUCUCCAAGAAGCAAAGACUGGCACAAAGGAGGGAGUGGGAAACGGAGCAAGUCAACUUCUCAGCACCCGCCACAGAGGAAAGUGCUGACCCAGCCAGCAAGGGGCCCUGGGACCCAGCUGACUCCGAAGCAGAUGGCGAUGUGAGGGGCACAUUCAUCACACAGCUACCUGAGCAGCAGAUGAACGAAAUUCCCAGCAAUCCUGUGCUCAGUCUGUAGCUUAAAAAAUACAGCCAUCUUACUUCCUCUCUCUCUCUUUUAAAAUAGGAGCAGAUAUUUUUCAUGUCUCACCCAGAUGCUACUAUUUCUCUGUUAUUUGCACUUGCUGUGUUGAAAUGCAACAGAUGUUUCAAAAGGGUUUAAAUUCCUCAUGAGGGACUCUGACAAAUAAACUGAAC